rnacentral:lncRNA from 1 species
CCAGAGCCCCGUGGGCUGGAACGCGCCGGAAUCUGAGGUGUGAGUAGAGCCUGGGGGAGAGUGGAUCCAGGUGAAGGGGGCAGAGGACUGGGAGUUUUCAUCCUCUUGAAUAAGAACUCGACAACAGAGUGGGAACUUUCUGUCUUGUGAUCCAUUGCCUGGUGAGUCACAGCUCACACCAUGGAUUUAACCUGAGAGCUUCAACUUCUGCUUUGGCCCUGGAGUUCCCAUGCCCUGGUGUCUUCUACCAGUUCUUAGGUUCUCUGUCAUUUUUUUAUUCUUCGGUGCUGUGAUCAUCACAUCAGUUCUGUUGCUUUUCCCGCGAGCUGGUGAAUUCCCAGCCCCAGAAGUGGAAGUUA